rnacentral:lncRNA from 1 species
GCAACUGCGACUCCAGAUCCCGGACACCGACCGGAGGGAACUGUGCCUUCCAGCUAACUGUGGACCAUUCAUCUCAUCUCAAGUGAGGUAACCCGUGCACUGAGCAGUGGAUGGUGGUUCUCGGGAAUCCAAGGCGAAAGAACUUCCCACCUUGGCCCGGUGGCUAAACGCAGACGCGGAGUCCCCACCCGCCCCCUCCGGCUACACCUCAGCCGGGUGUGAGCUCCGUGGGAAGGAAUCUUCUCCGGAGGAGUGCACCUUGCCAACAGGUGUGGCAUCCGAAGGAAGAGCCCGCACCUCCCCAGGAGGGUCGCUCGGUGUGGCGAUCUCUUUGCUGCAGAUAAUUCUUGAAGACCAGUAGGUGUCAGGCCAGCAUCUGACCUCUUUCAGGUGCUUAAAACUAAGAGUCUGGAAACUUGAUUAGUGGACGGUUAAAGUGAGUUUCCUGUGGAGGCUCUGUCUAGUUUUGUUUUCCCUUCUGCACUUUCUCCAGGUGAAGGUUAAUAGUUCAGAGCUUAACUGACUGCUAUCUUUCACUCCCUCUUGGUAAAGCUGUCUUUGAAACUGAACAGAAGCUUGUUGGCUGCGUGUGGAAGAGAGGCGUCUGCUUUGUGCUACAGGUAUUGUUUCUGCUGGCCUGUGAAAUCGACAAAGCUUCUGUUAAUUCGCUUCAGUUGCAGACAGCUUUCAUAAAAAAAAUAAAUUUAAUCUAAAAUAUUUUU